CAAAAGAUUCUGGCAGGCAGUGGCGACGCGUCAUGGAGGCCAACCUGGGUGGCGGCCCAGUCUUCUAAAAGUGAAAUCAUUUUUAUCAGCUUAUCUCAUUCACUGAUCUGGUGUCCCCGGCUGUGCGUGGAGUUUCGACAUGAGCAGACAUCCCCGGCUAUGAUGCACCACGACUUGAAGCGCAGUUGCACACUUCACAAGCCAUCGACUCUGAAGACCAAUUGAAAUGUAACAAACCAUAAACAUCAGAUGCAGUGGAGAUAUCAAACAGAUCAAGUAUUUUUUAUCCCAGAAAGCUACUCAGAUAUCAGCUGAUUAGAGUAAACACCAAGGGCAUGAAAG